GGGGUUGAGGAGAGUCGCAUCUCCAGUCCCGGUCCAGUUGUUCUGCGGGAGACCAACCCGCUGCGCGUCCCGUACUUCUCUUGGUCAGUUACCGUAGCAGCUGAAAGAAAGAAAAUUGAAGAGUGAAAUCGCACCUGUUGACGGUAAUGAUGUAGAAGUUGACUUUUAAGUGUCGCAAUAUGACUCAUGUUAAUAUUAACUAAUUAAGGCGACAAAAACGUGGUCGGAGGUUGCAGACUGUCUACGCGGAGGGAAAGGCGGCCGUCGGCAGGGCCUGGGAGUUUUUUUGCCUUGGGACGGGAGCGGCCCAGCCGGCAGACAAAUGACGGCGCGAGACGGCCCACCGCCCGCCAAGAUGGCCGCCGCGCCUGCCUACGUUCCCGCAGCGCGCAAUGGCCGCAGGUAAUGAAACGCUACCACGGCGAGACUGGCGAGAGAGAUGAAGAUGGGCGCAAGGGACAACAAGGGUUCGCAGACACACAGACGGAGCCGCACGGACCAAGUUUUGAACGCAGACAGAGGCGUCAUGGCGCCAACACAUGGAUUUUUCAUCUCCAGAAGAGCGACGCCAGAUAAUGACGCAGUGAUCGACGCUAAACUCCUCCGACCAAUGAAGUUUCCGCAACGGCCACCAGCAGCGCUGCGAGACAUUUGCGGCGUCUCCUAGCGGGGUGCUGCAUCACUCACCAAUCAGAAGCGAGCGUCGGAGUGUAACUACUUGUUGCGUUCAGAUCCGCUCUGGCAUUAAAGACCACGCGUUCAAGCCAGCAAGCCGUUGUUUCCAGGAUAGAAAACUUCGCAAACGGCGGCCAAUUCCUCGUUCUACAUGCCUAAAUACACGACUCCACUUUCCCGAUCUUUCGCAAGUUAGUGUUGCUAAGGAUGAUACGAACUGGAGCAUAGGCAAAUAAAUAACGUCAUUUAGUGGAAA